UACGUAGGGGGCCAGCGUUGUCCGAAGUUACUGGGCGUAAAGAGCGCGUAGGCGGGCCCUUAAGUGGGGGGGUGAAAGGUUGGGGCUCAACCCCCAACACUGCCUUUCAUACUGGGGGCCUUGAGUGCGGGAGAGGCGAGUGGAAUGGUCGGUGUAGCGGUGAAAUGCGUAGAUAUCGAUCGGAACACCCAUGGCGAAGGCAGCUCGCUGGCCUGCAACUGACGCUGAGGCGCGAAAGCCGGGGGAGCGAACAGG
rnacentral:rRNA from 1 species